UACGUAGGGUGCGAGCGUUAAUCGGAAUUACUGGGCGUAAGGCGUGCGCAGGCGGUUCGUUGUGUCGGUGGUGAAAGCCCCGGGCUUAACCUGGGAAUGGCCAUGGAAACUGGCGAACUGGAGUGUGGCAGAGGGGGGUGGAAUUCCGCGUGUAGCAGUGAAAUGCGUAGAGAUGCGGAGGAACACCGAUGGCGAAGGCAGCCCCCUGGGCUAGCACUGACGCUCAGGCACGAAAGCGUGGGGAGCAAACAGG
rnacentral:rRNA from 1 species